GUUUGAUCCUGGCUCAGGAUGAACGCUGGCGGCGUGCUUAACACAUGCAAGUCGAACGAUGAUCCCAGCUUGCUGGGGGAUUAGUGGCGAACGGGUGAGUAACACGUGAGUAACCUGCCCUUGACUCUGGGAUAAGCCUGGGAAACUGGGUCUAAUACCGGAUACGACCAUCUGGCGCAUGUCAUGGUGGUGGAAAGCUUUUGUGGUUUUGGAUGGACUCGCGGCCUAUCAGCUUGUUGGUGGGGUAAUGGCCUACCAAGGCGACGACGGGUAGCCGGCCUGAGAGGGUGACCGGCCACACUGGGACUGAGACACGGCCCAGACUCCUACGGGAGGCAGCAGUGGGGAAUAUUGCACAAUGGGCGAAAGCCUGAUGCAGCGACGCCGCGUGAGGGAUGACGGCCUUCGGGUUGUAAACCUCUUUCAGUAGGGAAGAAGCGAAAGUGACGGUACCUGCAGAAGAAGCGCCGGCUAACUACGUGCCAGCAGCCGCGGUAAUACGUAGGGCGCAAGCGUUAUCCGGAAUUAUUGGGCGUAAAGAGCUCGUAGGCGGUUUGUCGCGUCUGCUGUGAAAGACCGGGGCUCAACUCCGGUUCUGCAGUGGGUACGGGCAGACUAGAGUGCAGUAGGGGAGACUGGAAUUCCUGGUGUAGCGGUGAAAUGCGCAGAUAUCAGGAGGAACACCGAUGGCGAAGGCAGGUCUCUGGGCUGUAACUGACGCUGAGGAGCGAAAGCAUGGGGAGCGAACAGGAUUAGAUACCCUGGUAGUCCAUGCCGU
rnacentral:rRNA from 1 species